CGCCCGCCGCGCGCGGCGGGCGGGGCGGGGGCACGGGGGGCCUACGGGAGGCAGCAGUGGGGAAUCUUGGACAAUGGGGGAAACCCUGACGCAGCAACGCCGCGUGAAGGAAGAAGGCCUUCGGGUUGUAAACUUCUUUGAUUGGGGACGAAGAAAGUGACUGUACCCAAAAAACAAGCCACGGCUAACUACGUGCCAGCAGCCGCGGUAAU
rnacentral:rRNA from 1 species